rnacentral:tRNA from 1 species
GGUAAGGUGGCUGAGUUAUAGGCGGUAGAUUGUAAAUCUAUAGAGGGGUUGUUUGACCCUCUUACCA